GGGGGCGACUUAGGUUUCGACGUGGGUUGCAAAACCUGAUGUGCAUGCCGAGCAUGAGUACUCUCGUAAAAAAUACUCGAAUAAACAUAAAUGCAAAUAAUGCAAACUUCGAGGAAGAAGCUAUCGCUGCAUAAGCUUUAGUCUCUGACUCAAAAGGCGCUGCCAAUAAACCAGCGCCCCGAUGACCAAAGCUCGCUUAUCGGUUUUGAAUCAUCGGUCAUAUUAGAUAAGCUAGUCUUCUUGCUCUUUCCUAGCUUGAAGAUGAAACUUAAGGAAAUCGCGCUUGUUUAUCCUGACGAUCGGAGAAACAAACGUAAAACUAAAAGAUCGACCUAAGCAUGUAGAGCAAAAGGCAGAGGAUUUACGGACGCGGGUUCGAUUCCCGCCGCCUCCACCA
rnacentral:tmRNA from 1 species